rnacentral:rRNA from 1 species
AGAGUUUGAUCCUGGCUCAGGACGAACGCUGGCGGCGCGCCUAACACAUGCAAGUCGAACGGAGCUUAAAGAGCUUGCUUUUUAAGCUUAGUGGCGAACGGGUGAGUAACGCGUGAGUAACCUGCCCUAGAGUGGGGGACAACAGUUGGAAACGACUGCUAAUACCGCAUAAGCCCACGGUACCGCAUGGUACUGAGGGAAAAGGAUUUAUUCGCUUUAGGAUGGACUCGCGUCCAAUUAGCUAGUUGGUGAGGUAACGGCCCACCAAGGCGACGAUUGGUAGCCGGACUGAGAGGUUGAACGGCCACAUUGGGACUGAGACACGGCCCAGACUCCUACGGGAGGCAGCAGUGGGGGAUAUUGCACAAUGGGGGAAACCCUGAUGCAGCGACGCCGCGUGGAGGAAGAAGGUUUUCGGAUUGUAAACUCCUGUCGUUAGGGACGAUAAUGACGGUACCUAACAAGAAAGCACCGGCUAACUACGUGCCAGCAGCCGCGGUAAAACGUAGGGUGCAAGCGUUGUCCGGAAUUACUGGGUGUAAAGGGAGCGCAGGCGGGAAGACAAGUUGGAAGUGAAAACCAUGGGCUCAACCCAUGAAUUGCUUUCAAAACUGUUUUUCUUGAGUAGUGCAGAGGUAGAUGGAAUUCCCGGUGUAGCGGUGGAAUGCGUAGAUAUCGGGAGGAACACCAGUGGCGAAGGCGGUCUACUGGGCACCAACUGUCGCUGAGGCUCGAAAGCAUGGGUAGCAAACAGGAUUAGAUACCCUGGUAGUCCAUGCCGUAAACGAUGAUUACUAGGUGUUGGGGGAUUGACCCCCUCAGUGCCGCAGUUAACACAAUAAGUAAUCCACCUGGGGAGUACGACCGCAAGGUUGAAACUCAAAGGAAUUGACGGGGGCCCGCACAAGCAGUGGAGUAUGUGGUUUAAUUCGAAGCAACGCGGAGAACCUUACCAGGUCUUGACAUCCGAUGCAUAGCACAGAGAUGUGUGAAAUCCUUCGGGACAUCGAGACAGGUGGUGCAUGGUUGUCGUCAGCUCGUGUCGUGAGAUGUUGGGUUAAGUCCCGCAACGAGCGCAACCCUUAUUGCCAGUUACUACGUUAAGAGGACUCUAGCGAGACUGCCGUUGACAAAACGGAGGAAGGUGGGGACGACGUCAAAUCAUCAUGCCCCUUAUGUCCUGGGCUACACACGUAAUACAAUGGCGGUCAACAGAGGGAUGCAAAACCGUGAGGUGGAGCGAACCCCUAAAAGCCGUCCCAGUUCAGAUCGUGGGCUGCAACCCGCCCACGUGAAGUCGGAAUCGCUAGUAAUCGCGGAUCAGCAUGCCGCGGUGAAUACGUUCCCGGGCCUUGUACACACCGCCCGUCACACCAUGAGAGUCGGGAACACUCGAAGCCCGUAGCCUAACCGAAAGGAGGGCGCGGUCGAAGGUGGGUUCGAUAAUUGGGGUGAAGUCGUAACAAGGUA